CAAACGGGUGAGUAACACGUAAACAACCUGCCUUCAGGAUGGGGACAACAGACGGAAACGACUGCUAAUACCGCAUAAGCCCACGGCUCGGCAUCGAGCAGAGGGAAAAGGAGUGAUCCGCUUUGAGAUGGCCUCGCGUCCGAUUAGCUGGUUGGUGAGGUAACGGCCCACCAAGGCGACGAUCGGUAGCCGGACUGAGAGGUUGAACGGCCACAUUGGGACUGAGACACGGCCCAGACUCCUACGGGAGGCAGCAUG
rnacentral:rRNA from 1 species